AGGGUGUGGUGUAACACACUCUAAAUCUGCGUGUUAAUAGCUUUUCUCAUUGGCCUGGGAGAGCGGUUAGUGAAUC
ncrna:unclassified sequences L13-Bacteroidia ribosomal protein leader